rnacentral:rRNA from 1 species
GGAUGGGCAUGCGGCGCAUUAGGCAGUAGGCGGGGUAACGGCCCACCUAGCCGACGAUGUCUAGGGGUUCUGAGAGGAAGGUCCCCCACACUGGUACUGAGACACGGACCAGACUCCUACGGGAGGCAGCAGUGAGGAAUAUUGGUCAAUGGGCUUACGCCUGAACCAGCCAAGUCGCGUGAGGGAAGACUGCCCUAUGGGUUGUAAACCUCUUUUGUCAGGGAGCAACGCCGGCUACGUGUAGCCGGACUGAGAGUACCUGAAGAAAAAGCAUCGGCUAACUCCGUGCCAGCAGCCGCGGUAAUACGGAGGAUGCGAGCGCUAUCCGGAUUUAUUGGGUUUAAAGGGUGCGUAGGCGGAAUGCCAAGUCAGCGGUAAAAUCGCGGGGCUCAACCUCGCUCCGCCGUUGAAACUGGCGUUCUUGAGUGGGCGAGAAGUAUGCGGAAUGCGUGGUGUAGCGGUGAAAUGCAUAGAUAUCACGCAGAACUCCGAUUGCGAAGGCAGCAUACCGGCGCCCAACUGACGCUGAAGCACGAAAGCGUGGGUAUCGAACAGGAUUAGAUACCCUGGUAGUCCACGCAGUAAACGAUGAAUACUAGCUGUUCGGGGCAAAUGAGCCUUGAGUGGCACAGCGAAAGCGUUAAGUAUU